AGAAACGUUCCAUGGGCAGAGAGAAGAAAGACUGUGGAGUUCUGAAUGUUUGCAAGCAGCCAGAACAGGAGUCACUGCUUCUCAAGAUAGAGUUCUCCAUCCUGCACUUUCCAGACCCGGCUCAAGAAACCUGACAGCAUCAGUCUCCAGAGGAUUCAGCUUUACACUGCUCAGAGACAUAUUAGAUAUGAAAAGGAAUCAUUCAGCGCUAAGGAAUACAAGUGUCCUGGUCAGGGCCAACCACUUGAUCAGGAGAAGCCCCAAUAUUUUCUUGUUGACAUGUGUUGGAAAGCAAAAAGGUACAAGCCAUGGAUCCCAUCUUCUUUACUGCACUCCUUCAGUGACCAUUUUAAAGUCAAGUCCCACUGGAAAUUACCUCUCUGAGGAGUCUCAGAUCUCUGUCUCAAUACAGCACAUUCAGCCACUAGAAAGUCUUUGUGAAGUGUAUAUUUAUUGUCAUUCUUUAACACAUACUUCCUCUCAUUGCUUUCUUGUGGCACUGAAGCAUGUAGAAGACCAAAGGUAGGACUACAGAAGGUUGUUAAAAAUUCAUCACAAAUUAAUGUCAGGGCAAGAUUUGUGAAGUAAUAGAGUAUAAAGACCAUUGAAAUCAUCAUGCACACAUGCAUGCUCAAAGCACUGACAUUCGUAGACAGAACUACACUGCUAAACUAAGCCCAAGAGACUUGAUUAACAGGAAAUUUUCAGAAUGCCAAUUAGGGAAAAGUUUACUGAACAAAUUGUUUGCACUUGUACCCUAGAACCAUCAUGAAUUUUAAUUCUGAACUGAUUUAUGUGGCUGAAACAAUAAUUAAAGAUGUAUGAAUGUUACCCAUUCAGAAGGCUCUCUUACUGCUGUGUUAUAACACAGGAGAAGACAUCUGGGCGAGGAG